GGCCCUUUGGCCAAGUGGUAAGGUGUUCUCCUCCGGUUAGCUCGAUGGGCAACCUGGAAUCAGAGAAAGAUCGCAGGUUCAAUCCCUGCAAGGGUCG
rnacentral:tRNA from 1 species